rnacentral:rRNA from 1 species
UAGAGCAAAUCNCAAAACUCGGUCUCAGUUCAGAUUGCAGGCUGCAACUCGCCUGCAUGAAGUUGGAAUUGCUAGUAAUCGCGAAUCAGAAUGUCGCGGUGAAUACGUUCCCGGGCCCUUGUACACACCGCCCGUCACACCAUGAGAGUCGAUAACACCCGAAGCCUGUGAGCUAACCGUAAGGAGGCAGCAGUCGAAGGUAGAGCCAAUGAUUGGGGUGAAGUCGUAACAAGGUAUC